UACGGGGGGGAGCAAGCGUUGUUCGGAUUUACUGGGCGUAAAGCGUGCGUAGGUGGUUCGUUAAGUCUGUCGUGAAAGCCCCGGGCUCAACCUGGGAAUGGCGAUGGAUACUGGCGGGCUAGAGUGCGGUAGAGGAGAGUGGAAUUCCCGGUGUAGCGGUGAAAUGCGCAGAUAUCGGGAGGAACACCGGUGGCGAAGGCGGUUCUCUGGGCCUUACCUGACGCUGAGGAGCGAAAGCGUGGGGAGCGAACAGG
rnacentral:rRNA from 1 species